rnacentral:rRNA from 1 species
GACGAACCGUGCGAACGUUAUUCGGAAUCACUGGGCUUAAAGCGCGUGUAGGCGGGCGAGAACGUCUGUCGCUGAAAUCCCCCGGCUCAACCGGGGAACUGGCGUGGAUACGGCUCGCCUGGAGGGGCGUAGGGGGACCUGGAACUUCCGGUGGAGCGGUGAAAUGCGUUGAGAUCGGAAGGAACGCCCGUGGCGAAAGCGAGGUCCUGGACGCCUACUGACGCUGAGACGCGAAAGCCAGGGGAGCGAACGGGAUUAGAAACCCCAGUAGUCC